rnacentral:rRNA from 1 species
UACGUAGGGGGCAAGCGUUGUCCGGAAUCACUGGGCGUAAAGCGCGCGCAGGCGGUCAUCUACGUCUGGGGUGAAAUCCCAGGGCUCAACCCUGGAACUGCCUUUGAUACUGUCGAUCUGGAGUAUGGAAGAGGUGAGUGGAAUUCCGAGUGUAGAGGUGAAAUUCGUAGAUAUUCGGAGGAACACCAGUGGCGAAGGCGGCUCACUGGUCCAUUACUGACGCUGAGGUGCGAAAGCGUGGGGAGCAAACAGG